rnacentral:lncRNA from 1 species
UUUUUUUUAAAAUGAAGAAUGCUAAAAUGACAUGUUAAAGUUCAGAAGAGGGAGAGUACACCUCGCUCAGUUUUUAAGGCAUUGGAUUGGAAGAUAAACAGGAACACUCACUCAGAUAAUCAGGAUUCAUUCAGUGAUUCCUCAAUACAGGUUUAUGCCUUUAAUAUGCAUGCUCAAGAAGGAAAACUAAGGUUUUUCUCAAGAUCAGCACAUCUGCUCUUGACUCAUACUUCUGUAGAGCUGG